ensembl:ncRNA R153.4 ncRNA
AAGAAAACGAAUAAGAAAAAGACGACGUUUUCGGAUGUUUUGGAUGUCGGAUGGUGUCGUUUCAAGUUUCGAAGUCACUGGGGAUUCGGCACGCAAAGAAGUGACAAAUUGUGUGCAUACGCUUAAAAAUGGCGACAAAGAACGAA